AACGAACGCUGGCGGCGCGCCUAAUACAUGCAAGUCGAGCGAGAAGACGUAGCAAUACGUUUGUAAAGCGGCGAACGGGUGAGGAAUACAUGGGUAACCUACCCUCGAGUGGGGAAUAACUAGCCGAAAGGUUAGCUAAUACCGCGUACGCUCCUUGGACUUCGGUUCAGGGAGGAAAGCGAUACCGUGGGUAUCGCGCUCUUGGAUGGGCUCAUGUCCUAUCAGCUUGUUGGUGAGGAACGGCUCACCAAGGCUUCGACGGGUAGCUGGUCUGAGAGGACGAUCAGCCACACUGGGCACUGCGACACGGGGCCAGACUCCUACGGGAGGCAGCAGUAAGGAANAUUGCGCAAUGGGCGAAAGCCUGACGCAGCGAACGCCGCGUGGGGGAGUGAA
rnacentral:rRNA from 1 species